rnacentral:rRNA from 1 species
UACGUAGGGUGCGAGCGUUGUCCGGAAUUAUUGGGCGUAAAGAGCUCGUAGGCGGUGUGUCGCGUCGGCCGUGAAAACCUGCAGCUUAACUGUGGGCUUGCGGUCGAUACGGGCAUCACUGGAGUUCGGCAGGGGAGACUGGAAUUCCUGGUGUAGCGGUGAAAUGCGCAGAUAUCGGGAGGAACACCGGUGGCGAAGGCGGUUCUCUGGGCCGUUACCUGACGCUGAGGAGCGAAAGCGUGGGGAGCGAACAGG